GAUGAAGAACGUAGUGAAAUGCGAUAAGUAAUGUGAAUUGCAGAAUUCAGUGAAUCAUCGAAUCUUUGAACGCACAUUGCGCCCGCCAGUAUUCUGGCGGGCAUGCCUGUUCGAGCGUCAUUUCAACCAUCAAGCCCCAGGCUUGUGUUGGGGACCUGCGGCUGCCGCAGGCCCUGAAAACCAGUGGCGGGCUCGCUGUCACACCGGGCGUAGUAGAUUUUAUCUCGCUCAGGGCGUGCUGCGGGUUCCGGCCGUUAAAAAGCCUUUUUUACCCAAGGUUGACCUCGGAUCAGGUAGGAAUACCCGCUGAACUUAAGCAUAUCAAUAAGCGGAGGA
rnacentral:misc_RNA from 1 species